rnacentral:rRNA from 1 species
AGAGUUUGAUCAUGGCUCAGAUUGAACGCUGGCGGCAUGCCUUACACAUGCAAGUCGAACGGUAACAGGCCGCAAGGUGCUGACGAGUGGCGAACGGGUGAGUAAUGCAUCGGAACGUGCCCAGUAGUGGGGGAUAGCCCGGCGAAAGCCGGAUUAAUACCGCAUACGACCUGAGGGUGAAAGGGGGGGAUCGCAAGACCUCUCGCUAUUGGAGCGGCCGAUGUCAGAUUAGCUAGUUGGUGGGGUAAAGGCCUACCAAGGCAACGAUCUGUAGUUGGUCUGAGAGGACGACCAGCCACACUGGGACUGAGACACGGCCCAGACUCCUACGGGAGGCAGCAGUGGGGAAUUUUGGACAAUGGGCGCAAGCCUGAUCCAGCAAUGCCGCGUGCAGGAAGAAGGCCUUCGGGUUGUAAACUGCUUUUGUCAGGGAAGAAAUCUUCUGGGUUAAUACCUCGGGAGGAUGACGGUACCUGAAGAAUAAGCACCGGCUAACUACGUGCCAGCAGCCGCGGUAAUACGUAGGGUGCGAGCGUUAAUCGGAAUUACUGGGCGUAAAGCGUGCGCAGGCGGCUUUGCAAGACAGAGGUGAGAUCCCCGGGCUCAACCUGGGAACUGCCUUUGUGACUGCAAGGCUUGAGUGCGGCAGAGGGGGAUGGAAUUCCGCGUGUAGCAGUGAAAUGCGUAGAUAUGCGGAGGAACACCGAUGGCGAAGGCAAUCCCCUGGGCCUGCACUGACGCUCAUGCACGAAAGCGUGGGGAGCAAACAGGAUUAGAUACCCCGGUAGUCCAA